AAAAAAAGAAGAGAAUCAGAAGGUAAUAAUAAUCACAAUAGUAAUUCAUAAUGAUUGAUAAAAGGACAUUAAUUUAGUAUUUACUCUGUUCCAAGCUAUGCUUUCUAAGCAUUUAACAUUUUUUCGGUAGUGUGCUAAAGCCAGCCAGUACCAGCUUGCAAAAGCUAAUUAUUCACAUGUCUUUCCAACUUUGAAUUCAGUAACCUCAGAUUGGUACCUUGAAAUUAGACAGGGGGAAUAUCUAAACCAUGGAAAUCAGCAGAUACUACAAAUCAGGACUUCUUACCCAGGGGAGCCAGUCAUUCAACCUCAACACAUCACAGGUAUUAAGCCAGACUUUUACAAGGCAGAAGAGUCACUAUUGGUUUCUUAAUGUAGAAUUCUGCAUUAUUUCAUCGAUAGGAAACCUAUGCUUGAAUAGAGAAAAGUGAAGGAAAAAUAGUGAAGAUUGCAAAAGUAAGGAAAGACUUGACUACAGCACAACUAGUCUGUGACAGCUGAAGGCUCUGGAAAUCUUUGCUUCCAUUACCUUCCCUCUGCCACAGGAGCUUCUGGAAAAAGACUGUAGCAUACUCUUCCACUGACCAUGCAAUCUCUAUCAUUCCUGACUUCUGCACAAAACAGAAUUAUGAACAGUUCAAUCACUUCACCUUAGCUUUUUGAGAGUCACUAUUUCUAAUGAGACAACAACACCCUUCCCAUCUAUAAGUAGGCACUUUGUAGACACAGACAAUCAGCUACUAAACCAUAACCUUGGGUAUGUUCAAAGGGAUACACGAGUGCUGAUGCAGUAAGGAAAAGGGUAGGCCAAGGGGAAGAGAGCCAGAAUAAGAAAAGAAAUUAAGAAUGGCACCUCAGGUAGGGUGAGUUCUGUAAGAACUGAGUUUCCACUUUAUUAAUAGGUUCCCUUGGUGAUUUGAAAUGAUAACAUGGUGUCUUUGUUUGUCACUCCUCCUUCCUUCCCUAAUAAUUCUCAGUAUAUCCCUGAGAGUAAUCUGUGCCAGUGCACAAAGGGAAAAUUAUGACAAGUUCCUUCUGUCAUAUCUUCACAAAAGGAUAAAAUGUCUACAUUUCUAGGGCUCCAAAGCAAAAGGUAAUUUCUAAUUCAAGCUUAUGCUUCCCUUAAGGGGAGAGCUGUCCAGUGAAUUAGAUAAUUUUUAAAAUUUGCUAGCAGAAAUACAAAUCCAAAAACUUGAAGGAAGAAAAUGAAAAGAAUAGCAAAUGGCAAAUUAUCUGUCAUAAACAACAACCACUGGGUCUUGAGAGGAGAAGAGGGGGGUGUACAGCUUAAUUAGGAAGUGUCCUCCCAGAAUACCAGUGGCAUCCCAGAUGCUCUACUUAGUUUGCCACGGGCCAUUGUUUUCCUCCAUAAAUUUAAAUUAGCAUCUGCAGCCACUCUCCUAGAAAUAAAGACUUGAGCUCUAUGCUUCAUUUUGAACAGCCACUGGUCUUGAACUAAAAUUAAAUCAUAAAUGGAGUAUUAUUUAAAGGUUGAUAAUUUUCAUGGAAUAUCACUUCAGCAAUGAAACUAAAACCCUUGAACAAAAUUCUGCUAUAUACCCAAGAGUGUCAUGAUUAGGUUCCAGUUUAAUAAAAUUGGCUAGCAUUUCAAAGUUUAAAUGCUUUCAGGCAGUUUUUUCAAGAGGAUAUUGUAAUCUAUACAAAAUUGAGCUUGAAGUGAUUAAACAAUACAACCUUGAGCUGAUGGAGGAGGGGCGGGACAGUGAUAGAAUUCCAAGGGAAGUGAAGUGUCAAGGUCCUGCCCAAAUUGGGGGAGAUGGAGAAAUUCUUUUCUUUCUUUCCAUUCUAACAUCAAAUAAGACGCAACUCCUCUGUCACAAAGGGGUUCUUAAAGCCUCAGCCCAAAGAAAACAUUGAUUGCACUGAGAAAAUUCAGUAGCCAGUAAAAUCACACAACCAGAAGCACACAUACUAGGGAGCAAUCCAAAGUGAUCACCUUGGUUAACAAAUUCUUUGUUAUACUUAUGACAUCUAGAAGCAUCUGUAGAUAUAUUUGUGAUGCAGUGGAAGGGUGUAGUUGGGAGGAGGUAAUCUUGUUAUCACACAAUCACAAACCUGCCAAGCCCCAGAGAUGGUGCAGACCACCUUUUCUAUUUCAGUCUACAGGUAUUGCCCCCAUUGCCACACCGAUGAUUCCUUGUAGUGCUUGGUUCCCAAAGAAGGCUAGACAUCCUGCAAAAUCUUCAGCUAAGAUGAACACUUAAAAUGUGAUAUCUUUGAUAUGUUAUUAUGGUUUUGUGGGGUAGGAGAGAAAAAAAUGGGAUCUUAAAAAAAAAAAAAAAUCCUACCCUAGGGAAGAUGAACUACCUAGAGGGAUCAAAGAGAACUUAACAGAAAGAUUCUACUUCAUUUUUGUAUUUCCUUCCCAUUUAAAGAUUUAGCCAACUCAGUAAUGUUCCUGGAGCAAGAAGCAAGCAUCUCAGCUCAGGGUAGACUGAGCUAAGAACAAUCAGCAGUGUUUACCUGACCAGCAUAUGCCAAACUUCUACACAGUCUAGAGACGUGAGCCUACCACAGAUGGCCCAGAUGUUCAUGUGAAUAAUUCUGGCAUCUUUCAGAAGCCCAACUAGGUAUCAACUGGAUUGGAUUUAUAGUUAAUAUCUGAUAAUAUCUAAUAUCUUAAAAAUAUAUUGUGUCAUAUACUGAGACCCUAAUGUCUUGCUCACUGAAUGUUUGGAAACAUAUGAAAAGUAGCUACUAUGGUCUCAGAGACUGAAGAAAGCUUUAGGGAUGCUGCAAUAGUUCUGGGCUUUAUGGAAACAGACCAGCCCAUUCUGCUAGAAACAGGACACCAGCAGAUCUUUUUUGUGAGUAUGCUAAGAUUGUUACAGAAGGAAGAUAACACCAAGAAGGAAGGUUACAAUCAGAUCCACAAAUGGUUGUGGCAGCAAUAAAUCAGUAAAUAGUUUGAGGAACCCAUGGAAUUUAUGACUAAUAAUCCUAGACAUUUAUGAUAGAUACAGAUAUACAGAUAAAGAUAGAUACUGAUAGAUAUAAAUGAUAUAGAGAUGCUAGAGAAUAUACAGAGAUAGAGGUAGGGAUGGGAGAAUUAUAUAUAUACACUCAAGGCCUGAUACAAAUAGAACUUAGACAAAAGUGUAACUACCGUUAUCAAUCAAUUAGUCAAGAAACAAUAUGAUGAGUCCACUACUUCUACCUCAGUUUCAUGUGCAGGGUAAAAGAAAGAAGUAUUCAUACACCAAUUGCUGUAUUUCCAUUAAUGAUAUCAUUUUUUAUCUUUCUUCCAAAAUAGCACUAGAGUGAUCUUUCUAAUCAUAAAACAGUCCCAUAAGGCCUUAUGAACUUUAGUUUCCUAUGUGUUAUUUAAUCUCAUAAUAACUCUGUGAGGAAAGCCGGCUACCAGGGCCAACAUAGUAGCAUGAAGAAGGAAGAGGAAGGUUGGGAAAGAAAGAAAGGAAGGGGAAAAAGAAAGCAAGGAGAGGAGGGGCUAACAGGAUGAGAGAAAGCUGCCUACUCAGCUCUUCCUGCCAUCAGUUAUCACUCUUCAGCCUACUAACAGUUCCUACCAUCUCCUAACAAGUAUUCCAAGGAUUUAGACCCACACAAUCCUUUAGACUCUCCAAUAAUAAUUGUUCUACAAAUGCUGAGAAGUGAUAUCAUCAUCACCAAACUUAGCUGUCACAUUUUUCAUAAACUCACACACAAAGCUGAGGAACUUCAGAGAAAACAACAGUAAGAGCAAGUGAAGCACAAAAUCAAGAAAGUGAAUUAAAAAGAAAGAAAGCACCAAGCACUCACUUUCCCUAUAGGCCUCAUAAUCUUUCUUCAUGAGGCAAUCUAACCAGGCAGUAAGCUUACAUUAAAAAUGGGGUGUGUAAAGAGUGAGUUCUUGGAGACCAGCCUAGAGAAGGGAAAUCCCUCCCAUUUUGUCCUCAGUUCAACUCCCAAGAUUCCCAGCCACACCAUGUGAGUCACACUGCAAUUGCCUAUGAUAUGCAUCUGCACGGAUGCCUUCUGCUUUAGCAGGGAUUUCAAGCUUCUGCCUGCCUAUAAUAAGGGGGAAAAUCAGUGCAACAAUGUGACCGGAUGCUGGAAAGCUGGCAGCCAGGGAAAACAGUAGUGCAUUUGGCUAAUUUUCUAUUUCAGGGCUUUUUACUGUUAAGAAAAUUGGCCUCUGUGGAUUAAGAGAAAUUCAACAUUUGCAUCCCUUUCUUCAAUUUGAUCUCUUUGUUUCCAUUUUAAUAUGUCGUGGGAAGUUUCCUGUGAAUAUGUAAACAAGCUUUGUGUUUAUUUUAAUCACUUUUUCCUCCUGUUUCCAGGCUCUAGACAACCCAAGCCCUCACUCAAAUUCUGCUGUUUCAAGUAGAAAACAACCAACUUGUAACCUAAGUCUCUCCUUUUUUAAGAGGAAGUGGUAGUGGGAUAAAGAAAAGGAUGGCAUUUCCUACAGCAGCUGAGACUCUUAUUAACUGGUUAAAGAACCAACUCCUCAAUAAAGAAUUAGUCGAAUGAACCAGUUGAAGAAAGAAAAGAAAUCUUUGCGCUAAUUUAUGGCUUUGGAACAUGAACAGCCACCCAAGAUUCUCUCCCUUUACAGUUAAUCUUGAAUAUCAUACUUCUACUUUGCUUCUCAGAGACUCAUCUUAAAAGUGUUGCCAUAUUUUGUGUUUCUAAGCCCUACAUCUGAUUUAUUAACCCACUGUAAUCUGUCUUUUGUCCUUACUACCUUACUGAAACUUAUAAAGACAGUGGUCAAAAUGACUGGCUUAUUGAUAAAUAGAGUGAAUGUUUCUUAGUGCUUAUUUUACUGGAUUUCUCCAUGGCAUUUGAAGACAAUGAACAUUGAGAAAUUUCUCUUCUUUUGCUUCCUGUGAUACCAUGCUCUCAUUCUCUUCCAUCUCAGAUCAGUUCUGUCUUCUCUGAAUUCUCUUCCCUGCUUCUCUUAAAAAUAGAUGUUCUUUGUGUUCUCUACCUCUUCGUUGAUGAUUUCAUUCCUUCUUAUGUGUUCAAUAUCACCUCUACAUGAUUUUCACAUCUGGAUCUCUAGCCUAGACUUUCUUCCUGCAUCCUUAUAUCUUCACCUACCUAUCUCAGUUGCUGCCAGCUGUGGCCAUUAAGGACAAUUCCAACUCAGCUCCUGCUGCCACACUCCUACCUCAACUGCCUGCUGUUGUGUGUCUUUCCAAGGUUUGCCCCCAGGACCUUCUAUAAUAUCAUGGGAGUUGGCCUGCCCACUUAAACCAGGGCAACUCACAAUGGGGUAGUCAGCAGGUAAAUGCUCCAGAGUCCUGUCUUUCAGAUAGGCUAAUUCUUGGAGGCAUUCCUUGUUCUCAAAAGUCCCUUUGUUGCCCAGAGCACUGGCCUUAAAGAAGUAUCCUUAUAUUGAAUCUUUCUCCUUCACUGUCUCACUUUUCCUACUUGGUCACUCAUGGUUUGUGGGAUCUUUCCCCAAGUAAACUACCUGUACCCAAGUUCUUAUUGCAGGUACUGCUUUUGGGGAAACCCAAAGGCAUUGGGUACCAGGAGUGGUCGUGGAAUUUAGACUUUCAAAAUGAGAUUUUACAGCUAGAUUGUCUCUAUUUAGAUGAUACAUAACCCAAUUACUGGUGGCAAACAGGAUGGUGAUAGGACUUACCAUGCUAUUGCAUUAAAUAACUGGGACUCUUACCCAUAAUGGAUGUGAUGAAGUAUAGAGGAAAGGAGAAGCAUUGUACAGAAUGAUAUGGGGCAGUGGUAAUUAAGGUUACCGAGUUGAAUGGCUUUUCUUAAAUGCCUUAAAAGCUUUGAAGUAAAAAAAAAAAAAAAAAAAAAAAAAAAAAAGGCUUUGAAGUAAUAGAAUAUGGAAUAAAAAUAAAAUACCAGGCUCAGAUCAUCUGUCAACUGAGUGCACACUGUGAAGAUCGUAAAGCUUCCACAGAAAGAUUCAAAAAGACCUUCAAUUCCUAUAAUCAGAGGGAUGUCUAUGGCAAAAGCCAAAUAUCUAAACCUUAUGGAAAGACAAGAUGUGCAGUAUUGAUAGGUCUCCUAAGCUGAAGACAUAGCCAUAAUAGAAAAGUAGUAGAAUCCUGAAACUUGAUACGGAGACAUUGGGUGGAUUCAUUUAGAAAGAGUGAAACUCCCAAGUUCUCUUGGAUCCUCCAAAAAGAGAGGAAUCUCCCUUACCUGAAGACCUUAUAAAGACCACAUCUGAGGCAAAUGCCUUGUAAGAUGAUGUUGCCUUCUCAAAACCCACUAUCACCUCCUCUUAUAGCUUACAAACCAAUAACGAAGGCUAUGACCCUGUAUUAAUUUAGGAGGGAAAUACAGUCCUUGCUCCAGAAGGAAAUAGCUUUUUUACUUUUUAUUUUUAUUUUUUACAGAAAAUGUAGUGCUUAUUUAUAUGUACUGUCAAGAAUUGGAAGAGUAUGUGUGGGAGUGGUUUUUAAGGAUUAAGAUGAGGAGGAAGUACAUAAACCUGGAUAGGAAGAUUUAUUAAUCUUGAAGUAUACUCUUCCAUGACUCAGGAUUUAAUGUCUCAGCAAGAAUACCUGGAUCCAGUCCUAACCCAAAGCUAGGAGGCGUCCAUGAAGCUCAGUCACAAUUUUAGCCUAUAGUAAUAAAGGUAGAGAUACUGGAACUGCCUUGGCAGAGUAUUGAAGAAGGAUUUGGAAGGCUCAGGGAAGUGUAAAAGAAAGAGAAAACUCAACCCAAUCACGUUUUGAAGGAUACUCCCUUUACUUAGACAAUAAGGAAUAAAUAGUUGAUGAAAUUCCAUUAUAUAUUUGAGAAUUUCAGUGAUAACUCUUCUUAGUAGGCCAGAGUAGGUAGUGAGAAAGUAUGCCAUGGUGGAACUCAUUUCCAUUGUGUCAACAGGGAGGACAGAAUUCAAAAAAAAUCAGAGACAAGGUUUUAGCACUUAAAUGGAAGGUAGAAGUGAUUACCAUAAUGGGCAUCCAAUCCAGAACAGCAAUCUGAGAACUUUGACCAUGGUUCCUAGGAGUGAGAGAGAUGGGUAAUUGACUGCAGACAAAAAUCAAAGGCUGGCACACAGAAGUCUGAUGUUAGCCUCCACUGUGGAAUAUCACAAUUAUUCAAACAACUUUAAUAUUAGAUCUUGUUCUCCCACAAAGAGCCAAUCAUUGAAGGAGGGGAAUGGUCCUCCUCAAAAAAAAAAAAAAAAAAAAAA
rnacentral:lncRNA from 1 species